rnacentral:pre_miRNA from 10 species
CCUUCUCUCAUAGGGAAACUGAGACCCAGCAAGGGUAAAGGACUUAGUACCACACAGUGAGUUAGUGUGUUGUACCCAGGGGUGUUAGAGAAAAUGCCACACUUUGAGACGAAUUAAGAGUCCUUUAUUAG